CCACUUCAAGCUGAGCCAGGCCUCAGACAGUCCACAGGAGUGAGAAACUAAUGUUUAUUGCUGCAUGCCUCUGAGAGUUUUUGGUUGGUUGGUACGUGGCAUUAUUGUGGCGAUUGCUGAACAAGACAGAAAGUAUUAGUAGAAAUGGGGUGCUGCCAUAACAAAUCCCAAAAUAUGUGCAAUGGGCUUUGGGACUGGGGAGAAGGCAACGAGGAAAUUGUUACCGGAGCGUGGAAAAAUGUUGAUCCAUGUGCUAUAGUAGUGACGCAUUUUUUUCCAACUGUUACCUGCGGUAAACUGACAGACAAUGGACGAGAUAAAGUUGGAACAAUGAGCAAGCAAGUUCAAGGCACAGUGUGGACAGGGCAGAAAGCAGACCGAGAAGGCUGCCCAGCCCCUGGACUGGGUAUAGGCUCCAGUGCCAUCGUCAGACAUGGCCAGGGAAGAAGGACCUCCUGAAGAGUAGAAGCAAGAGCCUGCGGAGAAGUCAGAGUCUUAGAAGUUGAAAAAAAAAAAAAAUUCAGAGGUCUGGACAUGAAAUGUAAAGCUGUUCUCCAAAAGAGUGUACAUCAGUUGACAUCAGUUUACAUUGCUAGUAGCAGCAUAGGCGUUUUAGCCCACCUACAAACAACUGCAACUUUUUAAACCUUUGUCAAUUU